GCCGGCAUAGCACAGCGGUAGUGCAACCGCCUUGUAAGCGGUAGGUCGUGAGUUCGAUUCCCACUGCCGGCACCA
rnacentral:tRNA from 3 species